UGCCUCGUUGUGUUCCGAGCGCUGGCAGCGGCUUGUCGGGAACGUCCCCUGGCUCUGCCGGGGCUGGCGAUUGGUGCGUGCCGGGGAAGGCUGGAGGCUUGAAGGCCCGGGGGUGUGCACUGUGGUCGGUGACCUUUGUGGCAGAUGGCGGGCCUUGUUCCAGAGCGGUGGCGCUCGCCGGUUCUGUCCACGGUUCCUUGAAGAGGGGCCCGGCACGUGACUGCCGGCCGGCCGGCCGCCGCUGCUCAUCGAUUGCUCGGGCGACCGUGGCCUUGGAUCCUCCGCCGUCUCAGGCGCGGGGUCUCCGAGGAGAAAGCGUUCCUCCAGCAGGGUCCGAUUUUCCUGGCGCGGUUCGCCUCAUGCCUCGUCGCAGGGCUUUAGGUUUCUUCGUGGAAGCCUGUGGGCCUGGCAGAGACGGCGGGGGCCGUGACCCGAGCUGCCCUGCCGCGCACAGACGUCCGCCUUGGAAAACGUCCGCCUCUCCAUGGGUGGCGGGGGCGGGGUGUGUGUGCUCGUUCCGUGCCUCCUCUUGCCUUCCUGGACAGAGCCAUCCUUGGGGCCGUGUGAGGUCGUUUGUGGUGUUACAGGUGCCGAGGGAGGGUCCAGACGUUGAACGUGACGGGUCGAGUCCCGUGCGCACAGUCGAGAUUCCCUCGUGGCCGUCCUCCCCGGGGCUCCCUGGCCGCCACGUGUGUGUAGGGUUUGAGGUACUGCUUGGGGGACUUGCCUCGCAGGCCUGAGGUGGGCAAGGCAGCGCGUGGGUGGGAAGGAGUCCUGGAAGGCCGGGGUCCAGAAAGCGGGCCAGCUGUGGAAACGCCAGGUCCCUGGUCGCGAGUGGGCUCCAGGUUCGGUCGGGUCUUAGCGUGGGUCGUGGUGGCCCCAGACCACCUCUUCCUGGCACUUCCCCGGCCGCUGGCACCGCUGAGGGCGUGGGUGUAGCCUCAGUCAGCAGGCAGAGGCGCCUGGCCCCCGGUCCCCCGGUGGCGUGGCCACUGGAGAUCAGGAGGGGCUGCUGCUUCUGCCCUCUAGCCCGUGUCCCAGCGGCGCCAGCCUUCGAGUGGUGUAGGUGCUUUACGUGGUUCAGGUCCAGCAGUGGUCGGCGUGUUUCCGUCGGGCGCGGUUCGCGUGGCACGGCGUGCGGGGACACCGGGCGCCCACGGUCAGGCGGAGGGUGAACCUGCUGGAGUCUCGUGUUCCGGUGUUCAGAGGCAGGGGCUGUGAGAGAGGGAGCCUGUGGCCUAUUUCAGCAGGCCGAAAGGGCAGAGGUGAGCCGCCGGGCGAGUCGAGGUCAAAGCCGCCAGCGCGAGCUCUUGGUCUCGCGGCAGGGCCUGAGGCCAGGGAUGUGUGCGGAAGACGUGCUGCUUCAGGGGCUCGGGCCCCGCGCACCCGAAGACACGCACACGCGCCCGCCUGCGCGCCUUCCCGCGCUUGUGCUGUCACACACGCCUUCUUGUCACACCUGCGGGGAAGAGGUAGAGGCCAAGAAGAUGCAAGGCUUGCCCCGGGGCGGGGAGUCGGGGUGGAACCCUUGGCCUGGCUCUGGUUACCUGAGAGCCUGGCUGGGUCGCUGAGGCGUGCGCGUGCGAUUGCUCUGCACUUCCCAGGUGGGAUCUCCGAGCAAAGCUUGCCGUCGCCCAAGAAGAGAAGACCUGCCUGUCGCUUGUGGAGCGGAGACGCGAGGGAAUCCCGCAAGAAGCGUGGCUUCGGGUGCGCCCCGUGCCCGUGGGUCGCUGAGGCUGGGAAGGCUCGGCUGCGGUAGAUGACCUGUGCGGUAGACGGCGUCGCGCCCCCGGGAGGUUCGGCCCCCAGUGUUUGUCGUCCUAGCGCCUUGAGGAGACCCACAGGCCCGCGACUGGCCACCGGCCCCGUCUGCUCCGGAUUGCUGAGGCGGACAAUCUCUUUGACCCUGCGCCCCCUCGGGUCCGGCGCUUGCCAGGAGGAGGAAGCGUUUGUGCUCUGUGAGGUCGUCUGUGGUGUUCUGGGGCCGAAGGAGGGGGUCAUAGGUUGAGUGCGAUGCGGUCGACUUAGGCAAAGUCCUAAUUCCUUGACGGCUGUCGUCCGGGAGGCUCCCUGCCCGCCUGGCGCGCGAGGUGUUGGAGGCUACACCUUGGGGGACUUGCUGUGCAGGCGUGAGGGGGCUUGCCCUUUGGAGCAGGGAGCCGCGGGGUUGAACGUUUCCUCGAAGGCCAGCGCCCCGCAACCCGCAGGCGGUGGACAUGCCGCGUCGCUGCGUGGGAAUUGGCUGUGGUCUGAGACGGGUCUUGCCCCGGGUCUCGCUGGCUGUGACCAGCCGUUGCAGCGGGGUUCCCUGCUGGCCCGCCCAGGGCGUCUUGGCUUAGAUAGCCCAGACCGGAGUGCGGCCUGAAGGCGUCGGGCCCCUGGAGGUUCAGACGGGCUGCUUCUGUUGCGCCGCCCGUGGGCGAGUGGUGCCGGCUCUCGUGUCAGCCCUGUUGUCCUGGCGGUAGCCAGGUAGCCUUACCAUCAAGUGCCGUUCCCCCCGGCCCAGCUCGCGGGGACACGCUGGCCACGUGGACCUCACAUCCACGGUCAGGGUGAGGGUGUAGGUGGAUUGUCCGUGUCCUUUGCUCAGAAGGAGUGGCGCUCAGAGAGGGAGUCCGGGGCCGAUUGCAGCAGCCUCUAGCGGUGCGAGUUGGCGUCCUUCCUUGGGAAGUCACCGGGCUUCCGCGUGGGGUGGCAGGGCACGAGGUCAGGCAUCUGUGAGGACGGCGUGCUUUCCCGGGUGCUGAGGCCACCGCACGCGGAAGCCCGCAGGCACGCACGCGCGCGCGCAAACACACACACACACACACACACACGCACA